rnacentral:rRNA from 1 species
CCUACGGGGGGCAGCAGUGGGGAAUAUUGGGCAAUGGAGGAAACUCUGACCCAGCAACGCCGCGUGAAUGAUGAAGGUCUUCGGAUUGUAAAGUUCUUUUCUUAGGGAAGAAGAAAGUGACGGUACCCUAGGAAUAAGCCUCGGCUAACUACGUGCCAGCAGCCGCGGUAAUACGUAGGAGGCAAGCGUUAUCCGGAAUGACUGGGUGUAAAGGGCGCGUAGGCGGGAUGGCAAGUCAGAUGUGAAAUCC